rnacentral:rRNA from 1 species
ACUCCUACGGGAGGCAGCAGUGGGGAAUUUUGGACAAUGGGCGAAAGCCUGAUCCAGCAAUGCCGCGUGUGUGAAGAAGGCCUUCGGGUUGUAAAGCACUUUUGUCCGGAAAGAAAUCCUUGGCUCUAAUACAGUCGGGGGAUGACGGUACCGGAAGAAUAAGCACCGGCUAACUACGUGCCAGCAGCCGCGGUAAUACGUAGGGUGCGAGCGUUAAUCGGAAUUACUGGGCGUAAAGCGUGCGCAGGCGGUUUGCUAAGACCGAUGUGAAAUCCCCGGGCUCAACCUGGGAACUGCAUUGGUGACUGGCAGGCUAGAGUAUGGCAGAGGGGGGUAGAAUUCCACGUGUAGCAGUGAAAUGCGUAGAGAUGUGGAGGAAUACCGAUGGCGAAGGCAGCCCCCUGGGCCAAUACUGACGCUCAUGCACGAAAGCGUGGGGAGCAAACAGGAUUAGAUACCCCGGUAGUCCCAUGA